GAAAAAUUUCUAGGAGGAUAAUGAAGCAUCAGAAUAGAGUGCCUUGGAAGAUUAUGGAGUCUCCAUUACUGGAGGUCUUUAAGUACACUUUGCACAAAUAUUCAUCAGAAAUGACCUCAGUACAGCUGCUUCUUCCUUUGGACAGAGAAAUAAAUCAAACAACUCCAGGCCCCUUGCAGUGAUGAGACUCUAUGUUCCUGUCAUGAUUGCACAUCAAAGGUCACAAAUUAGCUCUAUGCUAUCAGAGAGAGGUUACCACCAGAGUGAUACAGAGUUAAAAGAAGUCUUAACCAAGAACGUACUACUCAUCAACUGUCCAUGAAGAGGACAUUUUAAAGGGUUGAAGGGUUGAAAAAAGGGUUGGAAAAAAUGCUGAUUUUUUUAAACAAGAUAAGGGUUUAUCCUGUUUAUAAAAC